rnacentral:rRNA from 1 species
CUUGAAUAAAAUAAGAGGUCCAGCCUGCCCAGUGAAAUUAUUCAACGGCCGCGGUAUCCUAACCGUGCGAAGGUAGCGUAAUCACUUGUUCUUUAAAUGAGGACUAGUAUGAAUGGCACCACGAGGGUUCUACUGUCUCCUUUUUUUAAUCAGUGAAACUAAUCUCCCCGUGAAGAAGCGGGGAUCUUUAUAUAAGACGAGAAGACCCUAUGGAGCUUUAAACAACCAACAUUUGCUACACCAUAACAUUUUUCCCUAAAAGAAGUAUAGCAUUAUGAUUAUUAGUUUUCGAUUGGGGUGAUCACGGAGUAAAAUAUAACCUCCAUGCCGAAAGGGUUCUUACCCUGAGCAAAAAGCCACAGCUUUAAGCACUAAAAAAUUAACGCAGUUUGACCCAAUAUUUUGAUCAACGAAC